GAUGAACGCUGGCGGCGUGCCUAAUACAUGCAAGUCGAGCGAACAGACGAGGAUCUUGCUCCUUUGACGUUAGCGGCGGACGGGUGAGUAACACGUGUGUAACCUCCCUAUCAGACUGGGAUCACUUCGGGACACCGGCGCUAAUCCCGGAUAAUAUUUUGCACCGCAUGGUUCGAUAGUGAAAGAUGGCUUUGCUAUCACUUAUAGCUGGACCUGCGCCGUAUUAGCUAGUUGGUACGGUAACGGCUUACCAAGGCAACUAUACGUAGCCGACCUGAGAGAGUGGUAGGCGACACUGGAGCUGAGACACGGUCCAGACGCCUACGGGAGGCAGCAGUAGAGAAUCUGCCGCAAUGGGCGAAAGCCUGACGGAGCAACGCCGAGUGAGUGAUGAAGGUCUUCGGAUCGGAAAACUCUGUUAUUAGUGAAGAACAAACGUGUAAGUAACUGUGCACGUCGUGACGGUACCUAAUCAGAAAGCCACGGCUAACUACGUG
rnacentral:rRNA from 1 species